CACAUUUCGAGUGGCAAGGUGAUAGAUGCCCUGGCCAGUCCUCUCCUGCGGAUGACACACCUGAGGCCCAGAGAGGGACAACUGCUGACUCUGGACCACGCUGGACCUCUUUGACCCUGAGCCUCCUGCCUGUUUUAGAAGGACCCUCGUGAAUGAGCCCACGUGGAUAGUGUCCCCAUGUCGAGACUCAUCUGCAAAGUCCAUUCGGGGCCAUGGAAAGGGUUCAGUGUUACCAUAUAAAUCCAACGAAAGGAUUUGAAAGGAAAGGCCAUGCUGGAAGAUAAGGCCAAAGGAUCCAAUAUUAAAACCCUGCAGUGUCGCACGAUGACC